AUUGAACGCUGGCGGAAGGCCUAACACAUGCAAGUCGAACGAGUGGCGGACGGGUGAGUAAUGUCUGGGAACCUGCCUGAUGGAGGGGGAUAACUACUGGAAACGGUAGCUAAUACCGCAUACCAUCAGAUGUUCCCAGAUGGGAAUGGCUUGUUGGUGGGGUAAGGGCUCACCAAGGCGACGAUCCCUAGCUGGUCGGAGAGGAUGACCAGCCACACUGGAACUGGGACACGGUCCAGACGCCUACGUGAGGCAGCAGUGGGGAAUAGUGCACAAUGGGCGCAAGCCUGAUGCAGCCAUGCCGCGGGUAUGAAGAAGGCCUUCGGGUUGUAAAGUACUUUCAGCGGGGAGGCGUUACCAGCAGAAGAAGCACCGGCUAACUCCGUGCCAGCCGCCGCGGUAAUUC
rnacentral:rRNA from 1 species